AGAAAAUCAGCUCUUAACAAAUGGAUACGAUGAAGCAUUGUUAGGGGC
rfam:Enterococcus pallens ATCC BAA-351 genomic scaffold acvKb-supercont1.5, whole genome shotgun sequence.